rnacentral:rRNA from 1 species
CCUACGGGGGGCAGCAGUGGGGAAUAUUGGACAAUGGGGGGAACCCUGAUCCAGCCAUGCCGCGUGUGUGAAGAAGGCCCUCGGGUUGUAAAGCACUUUCAGUGAGGAAGAACGCCUGGUGGUUAAUACCCAUCAGGAAAGACAUCACUCACAGAAGAAGCACCGGCUAACUCCGUGCCAGCAGCCGCGGUAAUACGGAGGGUGCGAGCGUUAAUCGGAAUUACUGGGCGUAAAGCGCGCGUAGGUGGCUUGAUAAGCCGGUUGUGAAAGCCCCGGGCUCAACCUGGGAACGGCAUCCGGAACUGUCAAGCUAGAGAGCAGGAGAGGAAGGUAGAAUUCCCGGUGUAGCGGUGAAAUGCGUAGAGAUCGGGAGGAAUACCAGUGGCGAAGGCGGCCUUCUGGACUGACACUGACACUGAGGUGCGAGAGCGUGGGUAGCAAACAGGAUUAGAUACCCGUGUAGGC